GAUGAACGCUAGCGGCAGGCUUAACACAUGCAAGUCGAGGGGUAGAAGUUGCUUGCAACUUUGAGACCGGCGCACGGGUGCGUAACGCGUAUGCAACCUACCUUUUACAGAGGGAUAGCCCAGAGAAAUUUGGAUUAAUACCUCAUAGUAUAUAAUCUUCGCAUGUUGGUUAUAUUAAAGUUCCAACGGUAAAAGAUGGGCAUGCGUCCUAUUAGCUAGUUGGUGUGGUAACGGCACACCAAGGCGACGAUAGGUAGGGGUCCUGAGAGGGAGCACCCCCACACUGGUACUGAGACACGGACCAGACUCCUACGGGAGGCAGCAGUGAGGAAUAUUGGACAAUGGGCGCAAGCCUGAUCCAGCCAUGCCGCGUGCAGGAAGAAGCAUCUAUGGUGUGUAAACUGCUUUUGUACAGGAAGAAACACCCCUUCGUGAAGGGACUUGACGGUACUGUAAGAAUAAGGAUCGGCUAACUCCGUGCCAGCCGCCGCAGUAACAC
rnacentral:rRNA from 1 species